rnacentral:rRNA from 1 species
CAGCAGCCACGGUAAUACGAAGGGGGCUAGCGUUGCUCGGAAUGACUGGGCGUAAAGGGCGCGUAGGCGGUUUUCCAAGUUAGAUGUGAAAUUCCUGGGCUCAACCUGGGGACUGCAUUUGAUACUGGGAGGCUUGAGUAUGGAAGAGGGUCGUGGAAUUCCCAGUGUAGAGGUGAAAUUCGUAGAUAUUGGGAAGAACACCGGUGGCGAAGGCGGCGACCUGGUCCAUAACUGACGCUGAGGCGCGAAAGCGUGGGGAGCAAACAGGAUUAGAUACCCCUGUAGUCCCUGUCUCUUAUAC